UACUUAUCAUAAUUAUCAUGCUCCCACUAACAUGAUGAUUAUUAGCAUAACACUUAUGCUCCCACUAGCUUUGACAUGUACUCAGAAAUCAGCUGGACUUCUAGAAAUCAAUACUUUAUUGACUUUCUUACCAAAGUUUAGAUUUCUGAUACUAGAUUGCUUUGAUAAAACUUUAUCAUAAUCAUACACUUUAUCUUAGAUAGCUCACAGGUGUGUCUAAACAAUUUUAAGAACUAUGAAAAGGGAUUCCGUAAUCAUAGUCUUGAUUGUUUAGACCUUUGCCACUUUUCACAAGUUGAUGUUAGUGUGCCAGUAAACCACACACACUCCACUAACGACGUUGAGAAUGCAAAUAUCACAAUUGCUAUCUAGCUAAAAUCUAUUAGUGAAAGUGUUUCCUCACCAUCAUUUUCAUGAAUCGGACAGAAACCUUAUGACACUUAGAUUUAAUGGUGUAUGUGUUCUUAUCCAUGUGAAUUGUCAAAACCAUAGUCACAAGACAAGGAUAAUGACAAAUCCAAGCUCAUAUGGACUGAACUCAAUCUUAAUUUCUUGCCAUCUGGCAGCUCAAGGGCCUGCCAUUGCUUCCAAGUUAUUGUGCAACCAAUUGAGAACUCUAAGAACUCAUAUGUAAAGCCAACUUUAAUUGGAAUGGACACAGAAUAUGUCAACACGAUAGGUUAUGAACCUCAAGUCGUGUGCUAGUGAAGAACUUCAGGUUUUAUUCUUGAUUAGUUUUUGAGACUUUCAAGACCUUUAAGACUCCCACUCUCCUCUUGACAUAUAAGACUUUCUUGUCAGAUAUUCAAGAGAUAGUGUGGAUUCUAAUCAAGACAAACACUUCAUACAAUUGGCGUUAGUUGGUCUUUGUUUUAUCCAAAACAUCACAACUUACCAAUUUAAAAUGUACAUGAGUAGAAAACUUUUACUCUUACAUUUGACAAGUGUUUUAAACCUUGUUUAAGAGAUGUAACUCAAGUUACAAUCUUGGAGUAUGAGUCUAAGACUUUUAUUGGAACGAAGUAUGACUCGUCUUCUUGAUUUAACCAUUUCAACAAUUCAAGAUUCCUCUUCUUAGUCAUAAGAAUGCACCAAGAUUCCCUUAGAGAAAUAAUUGUGCUACAGUUUCUUAAUCAUUAAGAUGAUCACACAACUAAUACUAAAUUACUCACCCAUCUUUUCAGAUUUGAGAAACUUUUAUCUUUCUACCUAAGUUGAUUCUUCUUAUUCGCUCUGCCUUACAUUGGAACCUUUUCCAAUGUCUUAGAGUUACACUUAAGCUUGUAAGUAUAAUCAUAUUUACCGAGCUUUAGUAAACUAUGACGAAUAGUCUUAUCGANCUUACAUUGAAACUUUUCCAAUGUUUCAGAAUUAUACUUAAACUUGUAAGUAUAACCAUAUUUACUGAACUUAAGUAAAUCAUGACGAAUAGUCUAGUCGAUCUUUUGUGGUUGACUUAAUCAGUGCACAAGAAUGUGUACUCGAUCCCUUAGUUCGUUACUUGACUGACACAUCCAUGUGAAGAAGUAGUUAGUCUUAAUUUUCGAAAGAUGAAAAAUUCUCAGUCAUCAUGCUAUACAACUUGCAUGAUUCCAAGUUCCUGUCCAAUUGAAACUUGGGUGAUGAGGAUCUCUCCUUAUUUGGUAAAUUUAGACAUUACCACAAAUGAAAGAAUCAAUUUCAUAUUUCCACUCUUGCUAUUAAUGGAAUCAUAUAAGCAACAAGUUUUUUUUUUCACAAAUGACAUUGUAAGGAUAAUUUAAAAUAAAUAAAAUCAAAACUUUUCCUUUUAUUUUAUAAACAUUGCGGAAAAACUAUCCUUACAGUGCAAAAGCACAUGAAAACUUUGUUGUUAUCUAUUCCUAAGCAAUAUAUUAUAACUCCUAAGAAGUAGCUCAAGAAUCCGAUCUUCAAUCUAUGCGAUAGAAAUCCAUCUACGCGAUCAGAUUCAGCAUAUUCUUUCUUUAAGUUUCUUCACUUUUCUUUGAUUCUUAAAACAUCACCAUGUGACCCAGUCACAUCAUGUAUCAAGAAUCUCAGAAUAGAAACUUAGCAGAGUUAGAUAGUGGACUUUACCUGAAGUAGAGUCAAACUAUUGACUUUAACAUCCUUAGGGAAAAUUGGCAGCUUCGCAACUAAUGCCCCUUCCUUUGGCAAUGGACCCUUGAUUAUGGGACUAUCUCAGACUUAGCCUCUCUCUUUACCAUUUGGUCAACUGAGUUGACUAUGGCCGAUCCCUUUCCAUUGGGAAGAGAAAGCUUUACUGGAUAUCCAAUGUCAUCAUUGUCAAUGUCCAUAAAGUUUUAGGAAGUUGAUCUUAGCAAAUAGAUAAGAUCAUUAAGGGUCUUGUCAUAGUCUGUUUCAUAGGUGUCCCAAAGGAACUCACUAUGUGACUUAGAAAGUGAUUGAACCACCAACUUUCUCAAGACUUUGACACCCAACUCUCCCGACUUGUCAAUAUGUGACUACAUCUCCAAGGUAUGAUCACACAUAGACCUUUGCUUCCCAAUAGGGCUUGAGUGACCUUAAACUGUUCAAGAACUUGUGGGUUAGGGAGAAUAAUUGGAGGAGGUGAAAGAAGUAUGAUUUCCAUGGGACAUCAUCUUCAUUUAGGAAAGCUUGUUUCAAGAGAUUUGGGAAGAUCAUAAAUGUCUAAACCAGACAUCUUUUGGGAGAUAUUCAAGAUAGUUGAUUUAAAGUCCUUAAUAUGACACCCAAUAUGAAAUAUUAAGGCUAGGACCCAACAAACUAUUUUAUAACUUAGAAGAGGUAUGCCGUAAUCCAAGCUAUAAAAUAUUUGAAGGUAGGUGAAUGACGAUUCACCAAUUUCCACCAAGAUAAACGAAAUGUAUUAUUAGGUUUUAAUUGGUUUUGAAACUCCUAGAUCUUUGAGAUUCAUUGAACUUUUCAAAGGCAUGUUUCAAUCUCGAGUGUGCCCUUCAGGUUUUGUGACUGGGAUGCCGAGGAUCACAAAACAAGGUGUGAAGUAACCAUGCAAAUCACUUGGUACCCUUAAUAAAUUACCCCUCAAUCGAUGUGCCGGUUAACCACACACGCUCCAUCGAUACUAUGAUAAAUAUUAAGUCACCCUUUACCUACCUUGUUAAGUCCAAGUUAGUGUGCCGGUUAACCACACACGCUCCACUAACGACUUAGACAAAGUGUAAAGUGUAAUUUCAUGGAUUAGCACCUUAUUCACAUUUUUCCUAAGUAACUAAGAUUGGGUAUUAUUAAGAGUUUAGUUACUUAGUAUUAUCAUUAAUACUUUUAAUGAAGGGAGAAUUCUAGUCCUGUCAAACCCGUUCGGCUAACGACCCUCCACCAGUCAAGCAAGCGGUGGGUGAGAGUGGACACCCAUUAAGUUGCCAUUUUAUAGGCAACAACCUUAUACCCACCUUAUAGACCGGCUUCGUGAAUGAGGCGUACUAGCGGUAAGACUGACUUUACUCUUAUACAUAUAUAUAUUAUUAACUUAUAAUAUUAUAAAGUAUAAGGGUUGAAUUUUAACUUUUAAAAUUCUAAGGGCUAACUUGGAAUUAAAGUAUUCAUAAGUGAAAACUUUACAAAUUCCAAAACUUGAGGGCAAGUUUUGAAACUAUUCAAAACUAAUUAAUUCCAUAACUUAUGAGUUUAAAGUAGUUUUAAUUAAAAGACUCUUCAAGUUCCAUAACUUGAGAACAAGUUAUAGAAGACUUUAAACUAAUAAAAGAAUGUAACUUUCUUUAUUUUAUAACUUAUGGAAUUAAUUAAGGUUACACCUUUUUNUAACUUGAGGACAAGUUAUGGAAGACUUUAAACUAAUAAAAGAAUGUAACUUUUCUUUAUUUUGUAACUUAUGGAAUUAAUUAAGGUUACACAUUUUAUUACUUAAUGAAGUGACUCUUGAACCUCCAUAACUUGAGGACAAGACUCUUCAUCUUUUGUAACCAUUGCCAACUUUUAUGAGUUUUAUGAAACUUAAAUGUGACUUUUCAUAUAACUUGAGGACAAGUUACAAAAACACAUUUUAGAAUCAACUCUUAUAUUAAAAUGGAUUGAAAACACAUAAUCAAUUAACUUUUCUAUUAAUCUAAGCAACUCAUAAGAACAAGAUAAUUCAAAUAAAAAAUUUUCAUGUAAUUAGUAUAAACUUUAAACUAAUACAAAACAUGAAUCUAUUGACAAUUAUCUUUGAAAUAGGAUUAUCAUUAACAUUACCACAUCAAAAACAAGUUUAGAAGUCCAAAAACAUCUUAGGGUAAUGUUCCUAGUCCAAUUCCAGCCAAAACAAUCAAAUAUAUGUUGUCUGGGUGUCCAACUCGUCGAGUGCACGAGCAAACUCAGCGAGUUGGAUGCAUUUUGCCUUGGACUCGGUGAGUCCAUCAGUGGACUCGGUGAUUCUGCUGAGCAGACAGCAUAAAAACUUGAUUUUUCAGCAAAUUUUGCAAGUAUAACCGGAAAACAAGCCUAGUUUCUGAUACCAUUGUUGUGUUUUGAGCAUUCUAACACUCCUAAGUGUACAUGCAACCCUAAAUACCUUGGAUCUAUGUUUUCUCUAUUAUACGUGCAAAUAUGAACUUUCCAAGGUAUUCAUCCUAACUAGCACAAUAACAUUGAUUCAUAUGAAUAUAUCAAGUUAGAAUUACAUACCUCUUUGAAGUAGAUUGUCUUCUUGAAGCUUGAGUGCCUAGUGCCCCAAGUGUGACACCUCAAAUGGUUCACACAACACCAAAUACACAUGGAAUGACUUGAGAGAAAUUGGAACACUUCAUAAAAUCGGCUAGCCCUUUCUAUUACUCAUAGUGGCCGAUUUCUUGAGCCAUGAGAUUCUUUUAUAUGGUGGCUAUUAGUGUUACAUCAUGUAACUCACAACUUUACCCUUUCCUUAUGCUCUAUGGAUUUUAACCUCCAUGGAGUAUCCAUGGGUCACCCCAUGGACUUAGUCCUACAUAAGGAAUCUUGGAUCACAAGCCCACAUAUAAAAGAAUGAAUGAUUUACACAAUCAACCCAUAUAUUUAAUUAGUCUCCUUUUGAUCACUUAAUUAAUUCCAAAUUAAAUCUUGAUCAAUACUAAUUAAACAAACUUAUUAAUAUAUUUGAACUUAUAAUAUAUUAACAAACCUUAAGUAUUAUUUCUCUCAUUUUAGUCUAUCCAAAUGCAUGAUGCCAUGCAACCCAAACAUGUCGGGUCAUGUCAAGUCUUACCAAUUAUAAUUAUGAACAUAGACAUUAAUCCAACACACAUGUGGAUGGAUGUGGUCAAGGACUAUGAUUGCAAAAUCCUUUACCAUCCUGGUAAAGCUAAUGUGGUUGCGGAUGCUCUGAGCCGCAAGUCAGCUAGGUCCGCGACCCCAGCCAGGUGUGUGAGGAUAGUGGUGGAUUCCCCACUGGUGGGUUUGAUCAAUGUCACACCCCCAAACUAGAAAGGCGGAAACGUUCAGGGGUGGAGGACGUCAUAUUCAGUAUCAUAACAAUUGCGUAGUAAGGAAAGUACACACCACCAAAUAUAUAAAUAUUUAAAAGUGUUUACAUAAUCAUAGUUGUUACAUAUUCAAAAUAUAAAUACAAUAACAUGUUUCAAAAGAAGUCAUUAACGCCAGAACGUUAAUCCCCAAAAGAUGAUUUCCAAACCUGCUUAGUGGUUCCCUAAGAAUACAAGUUAUUUCAAAGAAAAAGUGUCAACAUUGAAGUUGGUGAGUUCAUAAGCAGUUUUGAGAAAAAUGUAAGCCAUUCCAAAGUUCGUACGUUUUCCAAGAAAUCCCUUAUUUUCUUAUAAAAGUAUGAAAUGCAUACUGAUGUUCGUGUUGUGAAUUGUAAAUAGUUGCACCAGGAAAAUCCCUUAUUUUCCUAUUAGUUGAUUGUUUUAGAUACACGAAAAUCCCUUAUCUUCCUAAAGUAGCAGGCAGUCUCUAAUGUCGAAUACCGAAAAUCGCAAGCAACUGACAUGCUUAAAAGGUUGAUACAUAGUUUUAUAUAAUAGAGCUAUCAGAAGAUCGCACUUGUUAGAUGAAGAAUAGUUUUAAUAACUAGUCAAUCAUGAAAUCAGAAUACCAUAAUAAUUGUCUACCUAGUGUGUUUUAUAACCAUACUAAACAUAAUAUGCCUGUGGUGACGGUCUUCAGACGUCGAAACGUUUAUGACAAACUGUCACCCAAAGGACUGUACCUAACAUUCAGGGCGUGGGAUCAUGACUUCCUGUAUAGAUCUAUACACAUUUAACACGCUCUCCAAAUAGGAGACUCUGGUUAUCAUAAACAGGACUUUAAGUUGUAACUUUUCGCAAAAAGGUAGUGUUGAAGAUGUAAAUGUCUCACGGGUUCUCAACUAAGUCUGUAUUAAGGUGAUAGUUUUGUAUACAAUGUUUAUUCUCUUUAACAAUGUUUGACUAAGCAUAAAUCUUAAGUUUUCUGAAUGCAUAAAAUGGUUUAACAAGGAUGACUACCCUGAAUACUAUGCAUUUUGUAUAAACCUAGUGCAUGCAGGAUAUAACAAGAGUUUUCACGUUUUCACUCGGGAUUAACCGGGUGUUUACUUGUAUUCUCCCCCGAAAUGUAUUAAAAGUACAUUAUAAAGUAUUUGAAGGUGUAUAAAAGGGGUAUGAACUCACUUGAUUGAAGUGGUUGCUUUGAAGUAGUCGAGAGAAGAAUCGAUUAGAACUUCGAUAGGAAAAGCUGAAAACGCGGAAAAAUCUCGGGAUUCUCGAGACUCUCGAGAGUGUAGACCUUCCUUCGGGAGAUGAGUGUGAAAACCGGGGCUUCGGGAUGGCUUAUCGAGGUAAUUACGCAGAGUAACAGCACUUAGAUGGAAAGAGAUGAGCACCAAACCUGGCACCCUUAAGCUUCUAUUUAUAGGGGAAGAAUUUGGGUGCUACGUCGUGGAAAAGGGUUGGCCACGUCCUGGUGGGCUGCCUUAUCCUCUUCCAUUGAUUGGAUGCCCUCAGUCACUUGCCGGGUCGCGGCCAGCUGUGCCGCGUCGUGGCAGACCUAACAGCCUCGAAUUUUGAGCUUUAAACUUGUAAAAUCCGUAACUUGCAAGCACAAGCUCCGUUUUCGACGUCCUUUAUAUGCACGCGUAGGUGAGAAUAUUCUCCACAACUCUCGUUUAGACUCUGCCGGCUAGUUGUGAGUUUAUUUUUAAUAAUACCUAUUUAACAGGCUGUGACUGGAAAAGCCCGUUAAAAAUCCAUAACUUCUUCAUCCGGCGUCUGUUUUUGCCAGACUUUUUACGGUUGCGCUACUUUGGUUGAGACCUUCGAUUCUCAUUUAGGUUGUUUCGGCCAAGAGUCUCUCGAUCUCUAUUUCGAGUUUUUAGCUGUCUACUGCUAUAUCCGAAUCUUGGAAAAACCAUAACUUCCUCAUACGAAGUCAGAUUUGGACGUUCUUUUUAUGUACGCUCAUGGUUUAAUGAUAUCUACAACUUUCAUUUAGAUACUUAAGGCUAAAAACUAUUGUAUUGAAACUUUGCGUUUUUCGUUUAAUCGGUGUUGUCGGUUUUGUCGGAAAUCUUAGAAUGGUCAUAACUUCUUCGUUAUAACUCGGAUUUUAGUGUUGUUAGUAUUUCUGUAAACCUUGACACAAUAUCUAGUAUAGUAGGUAACCCAAUAGAUAAAUUUGUACAUUUUACUUUCGAAGUUAAUUUCAUUAUUUCAAAAGUGGUUACAAUACUUGACUUUUUAGGUCAUUACAUAGAGUCGAAAUAUCGGGUUGUCACAUCAUCCCCCCAUUAGAGGGAAUUUCUUCCUGAAAUUUAAUGUAAGAAAAACACUUGUGGAUUAGGGAAAAAGAUGUGGGUACUUGUGUUUCAUCUGAUCUUCGCGUUCCCAAGUGUAUUUAGGUCCUUGCUUUGCAUUCCAGCGGACCUUCACGAUGGGUAUGCGACUUUGUUUAGUUCGUUUGAUUUCCCUAUCCAUGAUCUCGACGGGUUCUUCCACAAAGUUAAGAUUUUAGUUUAGUUCGAUUUCGUCUAGUGGAAUCACAGGAUUUUCGUCGGAAAAACACUUUUUCAGGUUAGAUACGUGAAACACUAGAUGUACUUUGUUAAGCUCGAUUGGAAGUUGAAGUCUAUAAGCCACUGGACCAAUCCUUAAAGUAAUUUCGAAGGGUCCAAUGUACCUUGGAUUUAGUUUUGCAUGCUUCCCAAAGCGUAUCAUCCCCUUCCGGGGUGAGACCUUUAGUAGAACGCGGUCACCAACCUCAAAUUCCAAGGGUUUUCGUCUUUUGUCGGCAUAGCUCUUUUGCCUAUCCCUCGAGGCUUUCAGACGUUCUCGAAUUUGGACGAUCUUUUUAGUUAUUUCUCUAAUGAUCUCCAGACAAGUGAGAGUGCUAUCAGGGACUAAUCCUUUUGCCAAAUGCAUGUCGCCUACUUCCGCCUGGCACAGAGGUGAUCUGCACUUACGGUCGUAAAGGGAUUCAAAUGGAGCAAUCUUGAUACUAGUAUGAUAACUAUUGUUAUAAGAGAACUCGACUAAUGGUAAGUGAGCAUCCCACGCUUUACCAAAGUUGAUUACAUAUGCUCGCAACAUGUCUUCUAGGGUAUAGAUCGUUCUCUCACUCUGUCCGUCAGUUUGCGGGUGAUAGGCUGUACUCAUAUCCAACCUUGUUCCCAUGGAUUUUUGCAACGAUUUCCAGAAUCUAGAAGUGAAUCUAUUGUCUCUGUCCGAGAUGAUAGACGUCGGCACUCCAUGUAGUCGCACGAUCUCUCGGAUGUAGGUUCUCGUUAGCUUUUCCAUCUUAUCAGUUUCCUUGAUCAGUAAGAAAUGAGCAGACUUGGUUAGUCUGUCGACGAUCACCCAAAUGGUGUCGUGACCACCUUGAGUCUUGGGUAGUUUUGUUAUUGAUUCCAUGGAAAUUUGUUCUCAUUUCCACUCAGGUAUUUCGGGUUGAUGGAGUAGGACUGAGGGCUUAUGGUGUUCUACUUUUAUCUUGGCGGAGGUCAAACACUUGCUCACAUAGAUAGCAAUUUCUACUUUCAUUUUUGGCCACCAAUAGAUUUGUUUGAUAUCCGGAUACAUCUUAUCUGAACCUGGGUCUACGGAGUAUGGGGUCUUGUGUGCUUCGUUCAUAAUUAUCUCUCUGACCCACCAAACUUUGGUGUCCAGAUUCGAUCCAUGAGUUAGCGCACUCUGUCACUCUUGAUUUCUAGAUUCUUGUCCAUCCCUCUAAGGGUUUCAUCCAUUAUGUUUUCGGGUUUCAAGGCUUCUAUUUGAUCUUCCUUGAUUUGUGUCGAUAGAUGGGAAUGGAUUGACAUGGUUAGUGACUUCACUCUUCGACCAGAUUACUCCUUACGACUAAGGGCAUCAGCUACUACAUUCGCCUUUCUCGGAUGGUAUCGAAUCUCACAUUCGUAGUUGUUGAGCAAUUCGACCCAAGGUCGUUGUCUCAUGUUCAACUCCUUCUGGUCGAGUAUGUGAUGGAGGCUCUUGUGGUCUGUAAAUAUGGUGCACUUGGUACCGUAAAGGUAGUGCCUCUAAAUUUUUAGAGCGAAGACCACAGCUCCAAGUUCUAAGUCAUGCGUGGUGUAGUUGACUUCGUGUGUUUUCAGUUGUCGUGAGGAAUACGCAAUAACCUUUCCUCGCUGCAUUAGCACACAUCCUAACCCUUGGUUCGAAGCAUCGCAAUACACCACAAAAUCCUUGAUCCCCUCUGGAAGAGAAAGAAUGGGUGCACUGCAUAGGGCAUGUUUCAGGGUUUGAAAUGCAACAUGUUGCUUUUCUCCCCAGUUGUAGGUCACACCUUUAUGAGUUAGGGAGGUAAGAGGCUUUGCGAUCCUGGAGAAGCUCUGAAUGAACCUUCGAUAAUAACCAGCAAGGCCUAGAAAUUGGCGAAUCUCCGUUGGUGUAGUUGGUGCAGACCAAUUUUCGAUAUCCUUGAUCAUAGAUGGGUCCACGUGGAUUUCUUUUUCGCUGAUCACGUGACCUAGGAAGUCUACCUUCCUAAUCCAAAACUCGCAUUUUGAGAACUUCACAUAAAGUCUCUUAGCUCGUAAUGUCUCUAAGACUUGUCUCAGAUGUUUGCCAUGCUCUUAUUUACUCUUUGAAUAAAUGAGUAUGUCGUCUAUGAAUACUAUCACAAAUUUAUCCAAGAAUGGACGACACAUUCGAUUCAUUAAGUCCAUGAAUACGACAGUGACAUUGGUUAGUACGAACAGCAUAACUACAAACUCGUAAUGCCCGUAUCUUGUUCGGAAGGUAUUCUUGGGAAUAUCACUCUCCAGGACUCGCAGUUGGUGAUAUCCCGAUCUCAGAUUGAUCUUGGAGAAGUAGUUGGCUCCUUGGAGUUGGUCGAAUAAGUCGCCGAUACGGGGUAGAGGAUAUCAGUUGUUGAUGGUACGUUUGUUGAGCUCUCAGUAGUCGAUGAACAUCCUAAAUGAUCCAUCCUUCUUUUUCACAAACAACACUGGUGCUCCCAAGGCGAGAAGCUCGGCCUGAUGAAUCCUUUGCUGAGUAGCUCAUUCAGUUGGCUGGAUAGCUCUUGCAUCUCUGCUGGGGCUAAUCGAUAGGGCACUUUGGCUACUGGGGUAGCUCUGGGAAUUAGAUCGAUUCUGAAUCCGACUUGUCUUGCUGGCGGUAUUCCUAGAAGAUCUUCGGGAAAAACAUCGGGAAAUUCGCAUACCUAUUGCACGCUCUUGAUGUCCUGAAUCUCGCGUUUCACAUCCACAACAUGUGCCAAAAACGCGUGACAUUCCUUGCGUAGCCACUUCUGAGCUUGGUUACACAAGAUAAUACGAAGAGUGGUACUGGGUUUGUCGCCAUAGAUUAUGAGGGUUUCGCUGGUUGGCAGAUUAAGGCGAACAGACAUAUCGUAACAUAAAAUGUCCGCAUGAUGAGAACUCAGUCAGUCCAUGCCAAUGAUGACAUCGAAACUCUUAAUCGAGACUGGCAUGAGGCUGAUUGGAAAGUGAUUAUCAUUUAGAGUUAGGGUACAGUUUAAAUAUAUCUCCCUAGUGCCUUCUGUUUUACCGUUGGCCAUUUCUACUAUAAACGGUUCACUUCAUGAUUGGGGUGUUUGUUUCAACAAGCCUUUAAAGUUAUGACUCACAAAAAUCCUAUCCGCUCCACUAUCAAACAAAAUGCAUGCAUACGAGUAAUCAAGAAGAAACGUACCUGUAAAAACAGUGGGGUCUGCAAUGGAUUCAUCCUAUCCCAUUGCGAACACUCGGCCCCUUCCGCCGGUGUCUCUGUUGUUUGCCUUCAGGCAGUCCCUACAAUAGUGUCCCGUGGCUCCACACUCAAAGUAGGCGCGACUUACUCCGGCAUUAGCAGUGGGGGUGGCUUGUUGGGCUGGCUCCUUGCAGAAGGGGGCCAUAUGCCCCUUCUUAUUGCACCUUGUGCAUUUGAAGUCACUGUAAAGACCGUGGUGGUGGAAGCUGCAUUGGUUGCACUUCGGAAACCUCUCACUAUAAGAACUUGUGCGUGCAGUGGUGGCAGGAACAGUAACUGCGAGAGCCGCUACCACUUGUUGUUUCUUGGGGUUCCCCUGUAGGGUUUUCCCCCUUCUCUUGUUCCAAGGCCUUCCCUAGCCUUGUACCUCCUUUGAUGGAUCGACAGUAGUUGCAACAGUACCCUGUUUGACCCCAUGGUCGAUGAGUCACUGAGCUAAGCACUUAGCGCUGCUGAAAGUGAUAGGGUUGGAGGCCAAGACGUGACCUUGAAUCUGGGGUGACAACCUCCAAAUGUACCUUUCAACUUUUUUCGGUUCUGGGUUGACCAUGGCAUGGCACAAGGUGGCGAGGUUGCUGAAACUGGCCGUGUAGGCUACUAGGUCAGACCCAGUCAUCUUCAGAUUCCAGAGCUCUUGCUCUAGCUUUUGUACCUCGCCCCUUGGUCAGUAUUCUUCCAGUAGUAGGACCUUUAAGUCCUCCCAAGUUAAGGCGUUUGUGACGAUGAGAGUAAUGGACUUCACAUGGUUUUUCCACCAGGUGAGGGCGCGAUCAGUGAGGGUGCAAGCAACGAACUUGACUUUGCUCGCUUCUUGGCAAGAGAAAAUCUCAAAGACCGUUUUGGUCUUUUCGAACCAUUGCAUCAGUGCAAUGACUCCCCCUGUGCCAUUAAAAGUUUUUGGCUUUGCGUUGGAGAAAUCCUUGUAAGUACAUUCCCUUACUUGACCAUGACCAGUGCCACGGUUGGGAUGAUUCGUGCUGCUUCCCGCCCCUCCAUUUCCAUUGGAGUUUAUUUGAGAGAGAGCGGCGGUUACUGUUGCUGUUAUAGCAGUCUGGACCAUGGUCGGAUCAUAAGUUUGUGGUGGAGGUGGUGUUGGUAUCGUGCCCAGCCUGGGCCUUAGGUUUAGACGAGGAGGCAUCGCGCUUCCAAGAAAUAAAAAUGAAAGAUCAUUAGUUUUGAUCGUCGAGGGUUGAAUGAGUUAGCUAUCUUUAAUAGUUUAAAAAUUUUGGUUUGGACCACACCGGGCUUUGAGUUUGAUUCACAAAUAGAGUUUGGAUAGCAAUAGAAAAACUCAUGAACUUAAAAGAAACGCACAUAAUUAACACACGAAAGAGAUAUGCCUUAUAUAUAUUAAAAAUAUGGUUGUGUUACAUCUGAAGUUAGAACAAAAUUGACCUUUCUAAAGGUCUCCAAUUUCAGGAAGUUAAAGAAAGUAAGACUUUUAGCCGAUGGUCCUAUUCUAUAUCAAAAUUUGGGAGUUAGGCGAGCACUACUCGCUGCGCGGGUUGCGCUUGGAGCUCGAUUCCGCAUCCGAUUACUUGGCUCCCAUGAGACGCCUGUCAAAGGCAUCUUGUUGCUCCUUAAAAUCUCUCAUUUUGGAGAGAGCUGCAGUCAUUUGCUCUUGGAGAGAGUUGGUGUGGAGUUGAGCAUUCCUUUGUAGCAUGUCAAGGCAUCGAAUAUAGGCUGCAUUAUCCUCCAUCCUCAUGUCAAGCUCGUGAAUUCGGGUUGCCUGAACUUCGGAUUGAUAAGCCUGAUUGGCAAGUUUGCCUACCAUAACUGGGAGUGCUCGAUUAGCUGAACUUCCUCCGCUGACAUCGUAGAAGUCCCAACACAUACCGUAAGGGGGGCGAUUCCUUGUUGCUGGCUCCAAUGAUGGAUGUGGCUUCCCUAGAUGGGAGUUGGUCCUUGAAAUACCAUCCUCAAAGGAGGUCGAACAGAUGGAGGUCGGACGGCUGGCGGAUUGAUUACCUCGGGCUCUGAGGCUGAGCUAUCCGAAUCUUCCUCUUCCUCGUCUUCCAUGGGUACCUCCUCGGGAUCAUCUACAAUCCAUCCCUCAUUACCUUUGUUGGGGUAGUAGGGGUCACUGGGGUGAUGAAAUCCAACCAUUAAGUCUAUACGAGAAUAGGGUUAAGAAUUGACUAUAAACUAAAGCAUGUAAAGUUUUACCCUUAAGUUUAACGGUUGAAGAUAUCCGAACACUCCCAUAGUAUUCUUAAUGAUAUGCUCUUGGUAAGUUUUAAACUUGUUGUCCACUGCAGACACUCCCUAGCAUACAUUAGUCGGCUCUUGGACAAAUAUAGUUGAUCAGGCUAUAUUCAUCCCAGUUCCGAUUACAUAUCCCAAGGCACACCUGCACUUCACAAUUUAUUUAUAAUACUUCUAUAUUGAUCUAUUUAUGACACUGCUAUUAAUAUGAAAUGAAUGCAUGCCUACUUUACAAAAAUUAAAUAAAUUGAAUUUUUAAGAGUAUGACUCUUUCUCAGAGUGUUUUUGCCCAGUUGUGUUUAUAUUCGUAAACCAAAAAUGGUUUUGAUAUACUUAAUUCAGUAUAAACAAUGCUCUGAUACCAAUUUGUUACACCCCCAAACGAGAACAGCGGAAACGUUCAGGAGCGGAGGACAUCAUAUUCAGUAUCAUAACAAUUGCAUAGUAAGGAAAGUACACACCACCAAAUAUAUAAAUAUUUAAAAGUGUUUAUAUAAUCGUAGUUGUUACAUAUUCAAACUAUGAAUACAAUAACAUGUUUCAAAAGAAGUCAUUAACGCCAGAACGUUAAUCCCCAAAAGAUGAUUUCCAAACCUACUUAGCGUUUCCCUGAGAAUACAAGUUAUUUAAAAGAAAAAGUGUCAACAUUUAAGUUGGUGAGUUCAUAAGAGGUUUUGAGAAAAAAGUAAGCCAUUCCAAGGUUCGUACGUUUUCCAAGAAAUCCCUUAUUUUCUUAUAAAAGUAUGAAAUGCAUACUGAUGUUCGUGUUGUGAAUUGUAAAUAGUUACACCAGGAAAAUUCCUUAUUUUCCUAUUAGUUGAUUGUUUUAGAUACACGAAAAUCCCUUAUCUUCCUAAAGUAGCAGGCAGUCUCUAAUGUCCAAGACCGAAAAUCGCAAGCAACUGACAUGCUUAAAAGGUUGAGACAUAGUUUUAUAUAAUAGAGCUAUCAAAAGAUCACACUUGUUAGAUGAAGAAUAGUUUUAAUAACUAUUCAAUCAUAAAAUCAUAAUACCAUAAUAAUUGUCUACCCGGUGAGUUUUAUAACCAUACUAAACAUAAUAUGCUUGCGGUGACGGUCUCCAGAUGUCGAAACGUUUUUGACAAACUGUCACCCAAAGGACUGUAGCUAACAGUCAGGGUGCGGGAUCAUGACUUCCCGUAUAGAUCUAUACACAUUUGACAUGCUCUCUGAACGAGAGACUCUUGUCAUAAUAGACAAGACUUUAAGUUGUACCUUUUCACUAAAAGGUAGCGUUGAAGAUGUAAAUGUCUAACAGGUUCUCAACUAAGUUUGUAUUAAGGUGAUAGUUUUGUAUAAAAUGUUUAUUCUCCUUAACAACGCUUGACUAAGCAUAAAUCUUAAGUUUUCUGAAUGCUAUAUGGGUCAUCUUGGAUCGAUUGACCAACAGUGCCAAUUUCCUAGCCAUACAAGAGAGUUCGUCGGCAGAGAAGUUGGCUGAACUGUAUGUCAGAGAGGUUGUCUCUUGUUUUGGGGUUCCGGUUUCUAUCGUUUCCUAUCGAGAUGUCAGGUUUACUUCCCGUUUUUGGCAGAAGUUCCAUGAGGAACUGGGUACAUGACUACAUUCGGCGUUCCAUCUGCAGACAGAUAGGCAUAGUGAGUGGACCAUUCAGACCCUCGAGGAUAUGUUGAGGGCGUGCGUUAUUGAUUUCGGUGGGAGUUAGGAUUCCCACCUUCCGCUUGCAGAGUUCGCCUACAACAACAACUAUCAUUCCGGUAUUGGCGCCCUUCCUUUCAAGCUGUUGUAUAGCCGGAAGUGUAGGACCCCAGUCUGCUGGGGCGAAGGUUGCGCACAGAGUGAUGGGUCGGACAGAAGUAGUCCUGCAAACUACCUAGAUAAUACAGCAAAUUAGACAACGGCUGCAGACCGCUCAGAGUCGGCAGAAAAGUUAUGCCGACUGAACCAAUCUAAGCUGGAAUUUCAAGUGGGUGACAUGGUCCUCCUGAAGGUCUCACCCUGGAAGGGUGUGAUCCACUUCAGGAGGAGGGGAAAAUUGGGUCCCCGUUAUAUUGGGUCGUUCAGGAUUAUUUCCAGGGGUUUGCACCUCUAUUUAAAGGAGCCUUAGCCUCUUUUGGCCUCUUUACAGUCUUUGAGAGCCCCUUAAAACCCUAAUUCGUGUGUGUGUGUGUGUGCCUUGGUGUGGUGUUUGAAGUUUGGAAAAGAGGAUCUUGGAGGAAGAAAGCUAAGAGUGCAAAGGAAACUGAAGCAAGGAAGGAGUGGGAAGCAGGAUUUACCUUAGCAAGCAUUCUUUGGAGGUAUCAAAGUGCCAUUCUUACUUCCCUUUUGUUGAGUUUCUAGGGUUUUUAUGGAUUUUUAACUUGGUAUGACGAGCUAUGGGCUAGAUCUAGAAGCAUAAAGUCAUAGUCUUGGUUGUGAUUAACGUCCCUCUUGAGCAUGAAGUUCCAUUAAGAACUUAGAAUUUACAUUUAGAGCCUUUAUAGUCACGCAUGCACGUAAAGUUUGCAACUUUACGUGAUAAGCAUGCCCUUGAAGCUUGGAUCUAUGAGUUGGAGCCGUUGCAUUGCUCAAAAUAUGUCUGUAUGGAGGAAAAGGACUGAAUGGACUUGGCGAGUCGCAAAGUGACUCGGCGAGGCACAUGGAGAUGGCCGCGAACUCGAUGAGUUGGAUGAACAACUCAGUGAGUCCGAUGAAGAUCGCCAUAAGACUCGACGAGUUGAAGAACAACUCGACAAGUCGGAUUAGUUUCCACUGGGUUAUGUAUGAGUGUGUAUCCAUCGAGUUGCGAGGAGAGAACUCGACGAGUGACCUUAAGUUUGAUCGAGAAUCAAAGGAACUCGACGAGUCACUCCGAUGACUCGGCGAGUUGGAAUGUGCUUCAGGGAACUCGAUGAGUAGCCAAGGGUACUCUACGAUUUAAGGUUAACAUGGACUAUCGACCUUGACUGAGGACUUUGACUUUGACAAGGGGUUAACUAGCUGCUUAUGGAGUACCUUAUAAGGUUAAGGACUUAUGAGUAUGAUGUACUAUGAUGAUAGGUGGUAGAACCUGUGUCAAGUGAUCCGGGAGUUGGAGUUUACCUUUUGUGUCGAAAUCUUCGAGGUGAUUUAUCUCCACUAUAUCGAUAGGAUCUACGACUCCAAGGCCGACCCUUUAGUUGUUAUUGUUAUGGUAUGCUACAUGUGGUUAUGAUAUGUUAGAUCGGAAUCGGGGUAGACAGUGUGUUAUGCUCUUAUGAUCCGUAGGGAUUGGUAUGUUAGUGACCUGCUAGGUCGGUACUCUAGUUACAGGAGAAUUCUAUGAUUGAUGAUUAGUAUGACAGAUACAUUUGAUGUUUGUAUAUGCCUGUAUGUGAUAGUAUGCGCACAUGUUUAUUUUCUGGUGGUUGGGUUGAGGCGGUUCUGCUUUGUGCUGAAGGCCAAUAUACCCUAUGAGCGGUCCGGGCAGACUGUAGGCCUACGUGGCGGACCAGUCAUGCUGAAGGCUCGGGAUAGAUUCAGACAGACUGUAGGCCCGGUAGGGCGGUUCAGUCAGGCCGAUGGCCCAGUAUGCAUGAUGAUUGAUUGAUUAUUACUGAUAUGGUAUUGUCAGUGUGGUAUUGGUAUUUUGUGGGUAGCUCACUAAGCCCUCGGGCUUACAGUUUUCAGUUUAUUUUUUCAGGUACUUCAUGAGAUCAUGGAAAUGCGAAGGCGUGACCGUACCGCUCCUCAUCCUUAUGUUAUGAUUUUUGGGACACUCUGAUGGAAAAUGAUUUGAAAACAUUUUGUAAACAAUACUAUUUGGUUUUUAUUUACGAUUGAAAAAGUUUAAAUUUGGCGUAAAAUUUAUGGAUGUUACACAAAAAUCCCUCACCUCUUUCACAAGUACCAGUGAAAGGUGACUUAGUCAUCUUUCCAAGCACACAAGACUCGCACAUGUCAUCUGACUUUAGGUCAAAUUACUCCAACACUCCAACCUUUUGGAGUUAGGCUAUGCGCUUCUUGUUGAAAUGUCAAGGACGACAAUGCCACAAGCAUGCCUUGUCUAUACCAUUAGAAAUAUAAAUAUACAACACAUUAUUUCCUAAGUUAUCCACAACUAUCACAGUUGAUGGAUUAAUGUAUAAGUCCAUAACUAUAAUUGGUAUGUACUUGACCCGACUUGGAAUGGUACAUUUGGGUUGCAUGGCGUCGGAACAAUUGGAUAGACAAAAAUAAGAAAAAAAAAAUGAUACUAGUGAUUUAUGUUAAUACAUUAUAAGUUCUAAUAUAUUAAUAUAGAAUUGUAUUAUUUAAUUAGUAGUGAUCAAUAAUUAAUUUAGAAUUAUAUUAGUUAUAAAGAAGGAACUAUUUAAAUAUNNNNNNNNNNNNNNNNNNNNNNNNNNNNNNNNNNNNNNNNNNNNUAUAUAGGAUAGGCCAAGUUCAUUUAGGUUGGGCUAAGAUUUCAUUGAUAGUCCAUGGAGUGUUUAACCCAUGGAUCCUAUGGAAAUGAAAGGUCAUGGGUAUUAGGGUUUACAUGAAUGUAACCCUAAUCCUCCACACUAUAUAAAGAGGUCCCUAGUUAAUGAAAUGGGCACUAGUGUAUAGUACACAAGAGGGCAAAACCGAUUUGGUGCAAGUAUCCUUAUUCUCAAGUUAUUCCAAGGGUUCUUGGUGUUUUGUGAACCAUUUGAGGAGCAACACUUGGGGCACUAGGCUCUUAAAGGUUCAAGACUUCAAGCUCCAUCAAAAGGUAUGUCAUUCUAUUAGAUUCUUGUAGUAUAGUUGCUUCAUAUUAUGCUAGUUAGGAUGAAACCUUGGAAUAUUUAAUAUUUGCAUGAAUAAUAGAGAAAACAUAGAUCCAAGGUUUAUAGGUUUGCAUGUACACCAUAGGAGCAUUAGAAUGCUCAAAUCCCAUCAGUGGUAUCAGAGCCUAGGCUUGUUUUCAAUUAUACUUGAUGCAACUUAUUUUUCAAAACCAAGAAUCUGCCUAGACUGCGACGAGUUCUAGCCAAAAACUCGAUGAGUUCAUGUGUUAAAGCAUCUACUCGACGAGUUCCUUAUAGAACUCGACGAGUUGGUCUUCCAGUUGGCAGAUUUUCGUGUUUUAAGGCUGGAAUUGGUCUAGAAUCAUUACCUUAAACUAUUUUGGACUUAUAAAACGUGUUUUUGAUGUUGUAAUGAUUAUAGUAAACCAAUUUUAAGGUUAUUAUCAAAAUCUCAAGUUUAUGUGUGUUUAUGUAAUUCUUGAAAUUGUUGAGAUGAUUGUUCAUACACUUGUGACUUAUGGUAGAUCAUAGGAAUUAUUUGAAAAUUGUUGUUAGUUAAUUCUUGAUCUAAAUGUGUUUUUAUGGAGUCCAUAAUUUGUCCUCAAGUUAUGUAUUACCAAAAGUCAUUUCUUUUAAAGAUCCAUUAAAAAGUCAUAUGUUACAUAAUUGAAGAGUCUUUUCUCAUAAAUAGUUUUAUGGACUCCAUAACUUGUCCUCAAGUUACGGAUGUUCAAGAGUCUCUGCAUUAAAAGUUUUAAAAACCUUAAAUAAACUCAUAGUUAUGAAAAUCCAAAAGUUUAUGAAUAGUUCAAAACUUUCCCUCAAGUUUUGGAAUUUGUAAAGUUUCCCCCUCAUGAGUACUUUAAUUCCAAGCUAAACCAUUAGAAUUUUAAAAGUUAAAAUUCAAACCUUAUACUAUUAUAAUAUUAAUAGUUAUAUAUAUAUAUAUAUAUAUAUAUACAUAUGUAUAUAUACAUAUGUAUAUGAACAAAGUCAGUCUUACCGUUAGUAGGCCUCAUUCACAAAGUCGAUCUAUAAGGGGGGUACAAGGUUGUUUCCUAUAAAAUGGCAGCUUAAUGGGUGUCUCCUCUCACCCACCGCUUCCUUGAAUGGUGGAGGGUCGUUAGCCGAAAGAGUAGGGCAAGGACUAUAAUUCUGCCUUCAUUAUAAGUAUAAUGAUAAAUAUAAAGUAACUAAAACUUUUAUAAAUUCACAGUCUUAGUUACUUUAGGAAAAUUUGAAUUUUGUGCUAACCCAUGGAAUUAUAUUUUGCACUUUGCUUAAGUCGGUAGUGGAGCGCAUCUAGUUAACCAGCACACUAGCUUGGAUUUAACAAGGUAGGCAAAGGGUAACUUAAUGUUUAUCAUAGAAUCGGUGGAGCACGUGUGGUUAACCGGCACAUCGAUUAAGUGAUAAAUAUUAAGCAUACCAAGUAUAUUUGCAUGGUUAUUCACAGCUUGUUUGUGAUCCUAAGGAUCCCAGUCACAAACUUGAGAGGGCACAGUCGAGAUUGAAACAUGCCAUUGAAAAGUUCAAUGAAUCUCAAAAGAUCUAGGAGUUUCAAACCAAUUAAAACCUAAUUUCUAUUUCGUUUUUCAUGGUGCAAAUUCGUGAAUCGUCAUUCACCUACCUUCAAAUAUUUUAUAGCUUGGAUUACGGCAUCCCUCUUCCAAGUUAUAAAAUAUUGUGUUGGGUCCUAGCCUUAAUAUUUCAUAUUGGGUGUUCUAUUAAGGACUUAAAUCAACUAACUUGAAUUUCUCCCAUUGUAGAUGUCUGGUUCGAACAACUAUGAUCUUCCCAAAUCUCUUGGAACAAGCUUUCCUAAUGAAGAUGAUUUCCCGCAUUUGGUUUAUGGAAAUCAUACUUCUCUUCCUCCACCUCCUCCACUUAUUCUCCCUGACCCACAAGCUCGAAGACUUAAAAAGUUCAAGGUCACUCAAGCCCUACUAACAAUGAAACAUAAAGAUGGAAGACAUGUGUGAACUCAUCUCUUAGGAAUGAAGUCACUUAUUCAUAGGUUGAGAAGGUUGGGCGUCGUUGUUCCAAGAAAGUUGGUUAUUGAAUGGGUUCUUCAGUCACAUCCUGAGUCAUAUAUUGAGUUUGUUAAAGAAUACUAUGUGACAAAUCACGACAUGGCCCUAAUAGAUAUAUCUUAUUUGCUUGUUGCUGCUGAAUCAGAAAUGAUUUGGCGCAAUGGUCAAGAAAAUAUGUAUGGAAGGUCUAUUUCUCAAACUUCCAUGGACAUUGACAAUGGUAACAUAAGAAGUCUAGAAAAGCUUUCUCUUCCAAAUGGAAAGGGAUCAGCCUUGGUCAACCCAGUUGACCAAAAGGUAAAGGGAAAAGCUAGGUCUAUGAUAGUCCCGUGUACCAUUCCUAAAGAGUUUAUAUGUUUUCAUUGUCAAAAGAAGGGGGUUGCGAAGCUUCCCUCACUACCUGAAAGAUCUGACAGAAGGAAGAAUCAAAAAGUUUGACUCUGCUUCAGGUAAGUCCACUAUCUAACUCUAUUAAGUCCCUAAUUGAUGACUCUUAAUACAAAAUGUGACUCAGUUACAUUUAUAUGUUUGGCAGGAUCAAGCAAAGGGAAGGAAACUUAAAGGAAGAGUAUGUUGAAUCUGAUCGCGAAGAUGGAUUUCAAUCACAUGGUUUGAAGAUUGGAUUCUUGAGCUACUACUUGGGAGUUAUGAUCGAUUUCUAGGAAAUAUGUAAUAGCAUAGUUUUCAUUUAAAGUUGCAUUGUAAGGAAAAAGUUUUUUCUGCAUUUUAUAAAUAAAUAAAUUUUUGUUUUAUUUUAUAUCUCCUUGAAUGGCAUUUAUGGUAAUGUCUAAAUUUACCAAAUAAGGAAAGAUUAUCAUCACCCAAGUUUCAAUUGGACCGAAACUUGGAAUCAUUCAAGUUGUAUAGUAUGAUGAAUGAGAAUUUUCAUCUUUGGAAAAGUAAGACUAAUUCCUUGUUCACAUGUAUAUGUGAGUCAAGUGAAGGGCUAAGGGAUUGAGUACACAUUCUUGUGUACUGGUCAAGUCCACCAUAAAAUAUCGAUAAGACUAUUCUUCAUGAUUUACUAAAGUUUAGUAAAUAUGGUUAUACUUACAAGUUUAAGUAUAAUUCUGAAGCAUUUGAAAAGUUUUGAUGUAUGGAAGAACGAAUGAGAAGUAUCAAAUUUCGAAGAAAGAUAAAAGUUUCUCAAAUCUGAAAAGAUGGGAGAGUACUUUAGUAUCAUGUUUAUGAUCAUCUUAAUGAUUAUGAAACCACAUCACAAUUCAUCCUCAAAGGACAUCUUAGUGCAUUCUUAUGGAUAAGAAGAAGAGUCAUGAAUUGUUGAUAUGGUUAAAUCAAGAAGGUGAGUCGUACUUCAUUCCAAAACAAGUCUUAGAGUCAUACUCCAAGAUUGUAAUUUGAGUGACACAUCUUAAAGAAGGUUUAUGAACACUUGUCAAAUGUGAGAGUAAAAUGUGUUCUAAUCUUGUACAUUUGAUAUUGGUAACUUGUGAUGUUUUGGAUAAAACAAAGACCAACAAAGGCCAAUUAUAUGAAGUGUUUGUCUUGAUAAGAAUCCGCACUAUCUCUUGAAUAUUUGUUUGUCAGGAAAUGGGUCCUAGCAAGAGAGUCUUAUAUGUCAAGAGGACAGUGGGAGUCUAAAAGAUCCUAAAAGAGUUUCAAGAUCUAAUCAAGAAUAAAACCUGUAGUUUAUCACUAGCACACGACUUGAGGUGUGCAACCUAUCAUGUUGAUAUAUUCCUAUUUUCAUGCCCAUUCUAGUUAAAGUUGGCUUUGCAUAUGAGUUCUGAGAGUUCUCAAUUGGUUGCAUAACAACUUGGAAGCAAUGGGAGGCCCUGAUGCUGCCAGGUGGCAAGAAGUUAAGACUGCACAAGUUCAGUCCAUAUGAAUUUGGAUUUGUCACUAACCUUGUCUUCUGAUUAUGGUUUUGAAAAAUUCACAUGGAUAGGAACACAUACACCAUAAAAUCUAAGUGUCAUAAGGUUUCUCUUCGAUUCAUGAAAAUGAUGGUGAGGAAACACUUUCACUAAGUGGUUUUAAGUAGAUAGCAAUUGUGAUAUUUAUAUUCUCAAAGUCGUUAGUGGAGCGUGUGUGGUUAACCGACACACUAACAUGGACUUGUGAGGAAUGACAAAGGUCUAAACAAUUGAGACUAUGAUUACGGGUUACCUUUUCAUAGUUAUGAAAUUGUUUAGACACACAUGUGUGCUAUCUAAGGAAAUGUGUAUGAUUUUGAUAAAGUUUUAUCUAAGCAUUUCGUAUUAGAAGUCUAAACUUUGGUAAGAAAGUCAAUAAAGUUAUGAUUUAUAGAAGUCUAACUGAUUUUUGAGUCCAUGUCAAAGCUAGUGGGAGCAUAAUUGUUAUGUUUGUGGGAGCAUGAUAAUUAUGCUAAGUGUUGCAAGUUAGCAAUGUUAAUUAUAGAAAACAAAAGUUUCGAUUGGGAAAAGUUGUUUUGCUAUAAUUAAGGGAGAGGAAAUUAUACUUCAUUUGAAUUCUAAAAGCUUAGAUUGAGAUUUNUUAUGUUGGGAUGGGUCAACUUAAGGAAAUUCUAUAUGAAUUGCGUUAUCAAAUUCGAUUAUGAUUACGGCAUCCCUCUUCAUAGUCAUUUUAUGAGAACAUGGAAAAUAAAAAAAGUAUUGUAGCAAAAGACUGAUCUAGGAUUAUGUCUUUAUGUCAGACAUCAUGAAUCAUGUCCCAUAUGCUUCGUGUAUAGGAUUGAUUACAUGUGCUAUGAUAUUUAUCCUUCCUAAAUUUUCCAAAUGCCCAGGGCAUUAAGAGGGGAAAAGGUCUACAAUUGGAUAUGACUCAGAUGAUUAAGCAAUUGUUGAGGACAAUCUGAGGUUCACCAAAGAUUGGUUGCUCAUGGACAUUUGGAAGUAUGGUGUAAAUUUUUGGAAAUGACCAUAUUGACAGAUUCUGAAAAGAGGCUACUCUUGUUCAGAAGUGAUAGUCAGAAUGGGAAUAUGGAAAUGUUUCAUAGGUGGAAGUUAUCCAUUAAAUCUGUUUAAAAUUAGGAAACUUAAUGCAAGAAGGAUGUUUAAAGCAAUGUACUUUGAAUUUGAGACUUCGUGUCCAUGGAAUGAUCUCCAUUGGAAUACUUUGUAAUGUAUGUUGCCAAGUCUUUGUGACUUUGUGCAUAGUCAUUAAAAGAGGAUCAAUACAUAUAAGUUUAGAAUCUAACAGAUUUCGGUAAAUGGCAUGAAUUUGGAAUUCUUACAUUUACGGUAAGGAUUUGGGUUUGUGAAAUGAGCAUCAUUAGAAUCAUGUUCAAUUGGUCUAUUUCACAAAGUAAGGAUCAUAGACAAACAUAAUGUACAUACUUGGGGUAUGGCAUAACUAUUGUUUAGAAAACAUAGUGUACAUGCUUGGAGCAUGGGACAACUAUUGUUUUAAUUCAAUUAUUAAGUUGAUUAAUUUGAAACAUUAUACAAUGAAGAAUGAUUAAUCAAUAUGGUGUUUAAAUAAAAGGUGUUCUAUUUACUCUCAAAGGUGCUUGAGGCCAUAUUGAAUUAGUAUUAUUCUUGUGUUUCACUUUACAUGUUUUGAGUUCCUGAAUAAAUGGGUUAUCCAAAUUCUCCACAGUCAGUCAUAUGUUGGAAGUAGGUAUGAAUCAAGAUUGUCAUGCAGUUGGCUUGUAGAAGUCUAAGGUGUUGGACAUUGCAAGAGUUGCUACAACAUUCAUGAGUGCUCAUAAGUAAUGAGUAUUGGAUUAAACCCACACUCAUUUGAAUCACUUCAUUGAUUUUAUCAUGAGUGAUCAUGAGACGAUAAUAACUUAUAUUCAUCAAAGCUAGAGAUAUGAGUUGUUGACUAUGAGUUGGUUAUACAUUCAUUGUACGAAAACGCAUUAGUAACUCGAUGUUAUAAAAUGUACCUUUGUGUACAGAUUUAAGAGCUACAAUUGCUAGUUGGGUUUUGGAGUCAUACGCAAUAAUAGUUUUAGACUUAUCCAUGUGGGAGACUUUUCGAUUAGUGUCUAAAUCCAUAACUAUAAUUCCUAUGUACGUGACACGACUUGGCAUGGUCCAUUUGGGUUGCAUGGCAUUGGAACAAUUGGAUAGCCAAAAUGAGAAAAAAAAAAAGGAUACUAGUGAUUUAUGUUAAUAUAUUAUAAGUUCUGAUAUUUUAAUAUGGAAUCGUAUUAUUUAAUUAGUAGUGAUCAAGAAUUAUUUUAGAACUAAUUUAUUGAGAAAAAAGGAACUAAUUAAAUGUGGUCUCUUAUAUAUAGGAUGUGCCAAGUUCAUUUAGGUUGGGCUAAGCUUUCAUGGAUAGUCCAUGGAGUGUUUAACCCAUGGAUACUAUGCAAAUGAAAGGUCAUGGGUAUUAGGGUUUACAUGAAUGUAACCCUAAUCCUCCGCACUAUAUAAAGAGGUCCCUAGUUCAUGAAAUGGGCACUAGCGUAUAGUACAUAAGAGGGAAAAACCAAUUUGGUGCAAGUAUCCUUAUUCUGAAGUUAUUCCAAGGGUUCUUGGUGGUGUGUGAACCAUUUGAGGUGCAACACUUGGGGCACUAGGCUCUUUAAGGUUCAAGACUUCAAGCUCAAUCAAAAUGUAUGUUAUUCUACUAGAUUCUUGUAGUAUAGUUCCUGUUGGGUUUUGAGCAUUCUAACACUCCUAAGUGUACAUGCAAACCUAAAUACCUUGGAUCUAUGUUUUCUCUAUUAUACAUGCAAAUAUGAACUUUCCAAGGUAUUCAUCCUAACUAGCAUAAUAACAUUGAUUCAAAUGAAUAUAUCAAGUUAGAAUUACAUACCUCUUUGAUGUGGAUUAUCUUCAUGAAGCUUGAAUGCCUAGUGCCCCAAGUGUGACACCUCAAAUGGUUCACACAACACCAAAUACACAUGGAAUAGAUUAGAGAGAAAUCCACACUUCAUGAAAAUCGGCUAGCCCUUUCUAUCACACAUUAGUGCCCGAUUUUGUCACCAAUAAGAUCAUUAUAUAGUGUCACAAUUAGGGUAAACCCUAAUUGUCAUGGCUUUCCAUUUCCUUGGAUCCAUGGGUUCAAAUACACCAUGGAGCAUCCACGAAGCAUCCUAUGGGUUUUAGCCCAACUUGAUAAUCCAUGGAGCAUUAGCCCACUAUACAAGUAUGGAUAAUUUACAAAAUCAACCCAUAUAUAUAAUUAGUCUUCUUUUGAUCACUUAAUUAAUCCUAAAUUAAUUCUUGAUCNUAAAUACUACUAUUAAUAUAUUAGAACUUAUAAUAUAUUAACAAACCACAAGUGUUAUUUCACUCAUUUAGUCUAUCCAAAUGCAUGACGCCAUACAACCCAAAUGGACCAUGCCGGGUCGGGUUAAGUCUUAUGUAACAUACACGUUUUGAAAUCGUGUUUUAAGUAAAUAAUAUGAUGAAAUAUUAAGUGAAUUUGAAUGUUGAGUUCUAACAGAUAGUUUUUACUAGAAAUAAAGUAAACCUAUGUUUAGAAUCACUCAUAAAAUAUUGGAAGUCUUAUGAGAUUCCAAUUAAAAGCCAAAUAGUGAAAUAUAGCAAAAAUAUAAAAUUUGGAAUAAGUAAAAUUUUAUUAUUGAAAGUUGUAGAUAAUCUCGUUAGAAACAUUUAGGCGAAAACCUCAUCGAAAUCCGAGUUAUAACGAAGAAGUUAUGACCAAACGAAGAUCCGUGAUAAAUCCGGAAAAUACCUUGUCGCGUAAAAAUUUAGUUUUCGAUAAACUAAUUUUUAGCCUUAGUGAUGUAAAUGAAAGUUGUAGAACUCGUGAAAAUAAUCAACUUUCAUAUAAAGACCGUUUGAAUCUGACUUCGUAUGAGGAAGUUAUGAUUUUUCGAAGUUUCAGCUUAGCAGUAGACAGCUAAAAACUCGAAUUUUAGAUCGAGUGAUUUUUAGCCGACACAACCUAAACGAGAAUUGAAGGUCUCGUCAUUAGUAGUGCAACGGUAAAAAGUCUGACGAAAACGGACGUCGGAUGAAGAAGUUAUGAAUUUUUAACGGAUUUUCCUGUCCCGGUCUGUUAAAAAUAAUAAUAUUAAAAUUAAAGUCAAAAUUAGCCGACGAAGUCUAAACGAAAGUUGUAGAGCAUAAUUUUAGCUUCGCGUGCAUAUAAAGAACGUCAAAAACGGAGCUCGUAUGCGAAAGUUAUGGAUUUUAGAAGUUUUUGCACAAAUUUCGAGAAAAUUCGUAUGAAUAGUGAAAUGCCACGUCACCCUCGUAUGCGAGGCUUCCACGUGUCGGACAGAUGUUCGCUUCUGAUUGGACCGCAGCCUUGCGUGUUGCCUUCUGAUUGGACCAAGCCGAGGACCACUAAGCCCGGANNNNNNNNNNNNNNNNNNNNNNNNNNNNNNNNNNNNNNNNNNNNNNNNNNNNNNNNNNNNNNNNNNNNNNNNNNNNNNNNNNNNNNNNNNNNNNNNNNNNNNNNNNNNNNNNNNNNNNNNNNNNNNNNNNNNNNNNNNNNNNNNNNNNNNNNNNNNNNNNNNNNNNNNNNNNNNNNNNNNNNNNNNNNNNNNNNNNNNNNNNNNNNNNNNNNNNNNNNNNNNNNNNNNNNNNNNNNNNNNNNNNNNNNNNNNNNNNNNNNNNNNNNNNNNNNNNNNNNNNNNNNNNNNNNNNNNNNNNNNNNNNNNNNNNNNNNNNNNNNNNNNNNNNNNNNNNNNNNNNNNNNNNNNNNNNNNNNNNNNNNNNNNNNNNNNNNNNNNNNNNNNNNNNNNNNNNNNNNNNNNNNNNNNNNNNNNNNNNNNNNNNNNNNNNNNNNNNNNNNNNNNNNNNNNNNNNNNNNNNNNNNNNNNNNNNNNNNNNNNNNNNNNNNNNNNNNNNNNNNNNNNNNNNNNNNNNNNNNNNNNNNNNNNNNNNNNNNNNNNNNNNNNNNNNNNNNNNNNNNNNNNNNNNNNNNNNNNNNNNNNNNNNNNNNNNNNNNNNNNNNNNNNNNNNNNNNNNNNNNNNNNNNNNNNNNNNNNNNNNNNNNNNNNNNNNNNNNNGGUUAUUUUCCCGGGUUAUUUUUAUUUGCUAUUUUUAAUAGCAAAGAAAUACCUUUGACCAUGUGAUCAGUGAAAGGACUUAGAUUCACGUUGGUACUGGUAUGUAGCCUCUGGCCAUGUGGAACAUGUCUCCGUAAGAGAAUGAAUUCUAUUCUAUGGUAGUGGCAGAAGGUUAGACAGGGCUAUAAGCCUGAAAUCUACCGAAAUGUUAAUCCGAAGUUGUAUAUCUUCUGUGCCGUUUGGGCCAAAGCUUUAUUGAUGUAUAUCAAGCCUGGAAAUUGUUAUGUCUCAUUGAUUGUAUAUCUUUAAAUCAAAUCAAUGAUUGAUACGGAAUGUUUGUCACGUGAUUCACAUAUGCCCUUGUUGAUCCUUGAUCCUCUUUGCUUCUGCCAUAUCGAAGUAUAUAUAUGGCAUAACGUUAUAUUGUAUCUAUCAUUGAACUCACUAAGCGUCACCGCUUACCCUCUCAAUGUUUAACAAAUUUGCAGGAGAUAAGCAUCCAGUAUAGUUAUAUACUGGUAGAAGUUUUUUGAAUUGUUUGAAAUUGGUGUAUCGAUAGAAGUUUAUGAAUAGUUUGAAACUAUUGUAUUUUGCACUCCCAUAUGUAUAAAACUAUAGAAUCCUGGGAAGAUAUGUAAUAUAUAACACUUUAAAAUAGUCGGUUUGUAUCCAGUAGUUUGUAAUCUCUUUAUCAAUGUAAAAUAUUGUUUUUAUGAAUAUGCAAGUAGCAUGUUUUGGAGUAACUAUAUUGUCGAGUAUGAAAGUUUGGGUCUUUCAUAAAUACGAAAGUUAGGGUCUUUCAAUCAUGGUAUCAGAGCAGUAGUUUGAGUGAACUAAAUUCCACGGAUUGGUAUUUAGACUUAAACUAUUGGAAGUUCAAUAUAUGAACUAAAUCAUUGUAAGUAUAGGGAUACAAACCAUAGGAAAUAUAUAAGUAAAAGUAUUAGGUAAUAAUAAACCCUAAUAUUCUAAAAUACAAUGUUACUCCGUAUUGCAGAGCAAUGGCUGAACAGGUUAGUAGCCAUACCCCUGAGGUUGGUGGAGGUCCUCAACCCGAGGAAGUGAAUACUCCAGUAUCUCCUCGUGAGGAGCGACUCUUGGGUAAACUUACUGGUGUUAUUCGACAGACUCUCGAAGAACACAAAAAGAAUGGUGAUAAGGGAAAAGAGAAAGCCACUGGAGAAUCUUCAAAAGGAGAGGUGAAGCGUCCCUCGUUCAAAGAUUUCAAGAGUAGUGGUGCUACAGAGUUUUCCGGUGUUCUCAAUCCCAUUAUUGUUCUUAAUUGGAUCCAGAACACAGAGAAAGUGUUUCGUAUUUGUCAUGUGGAUAACGAAGACAAGGCUAACUAUGCUUCCGCAAUGCUCAUUGGAGAAGCCUUGGUCUGGUGGGAAGCAACAUAUGAAGCUCUCAAUGGGUUUGACCAGGAGAAUUUAGCUUGGGAAAUGUUUAAAACUUGUUUGCUAGAGAAGUAUUGUCCUCUAGACAAGAGGAGGAGAUUGGAGAAGGAAUUCCUAGAGCAUAAACAAGGAGGAAUGACUGUGAACGAGUAUGAAACUCAGUUUAAUCAAAGAGAAAGGUUUGCUACAAAGUAUAUUCCAACUGAAGACGAGAAAAUUCAGUUAUUCAUGGAGGGACUACGACACGAAAUCCACGAUUUCGUUGCCAAUCGAGAAGUUCUGUCAUUCGAUAAAGUCGUUGAAUAUGCUCGAAGACGUGAGCAUGACUUAGAAAUACGUGGUGCCACCGUUAUUGCUCCGAAGCAUCCACGUACUGAAAGAACUGUUCCUAUUCCUUCUUUUCUACUAGCUCAAUCCAUUCAGACUGAACCUGGUAAUCAAGUUCAAACUCAAAGCAUCUCUCGUGGACGCGGUAGAUCACAAUCUUUUUCUAUGCAAUCGCCUUCAUGUCGUAUUUGUGGAAGAAAUCGUCCGGGCCAAUGCAAAAUAGACAAGGAAUCCAUAGUCUGUUAUGGAUGCGGUGAAAAGGGUCAUAUAAAGCCAUCUUGCCCAAUAAAGGAUGUUACUUGCUAUGCAUGUGGUAUUAUUGGCCACAAGAAGCGUUUUUGCCCUACUCUUACUAGUCAGAUGACGGGAAGUCAAGCUUCUGUUCAACAACCGGCGAGAAGCCAAGUCCCUGUUCAACAAUCAAAGGGUACUCCAACUAAAAAGGAGGAGGUGCCAAAAGCUAGGGGUCGUGCAUUCCAGAUUACCUCAGAGGAGGCACGCGAGGACCCGAAUGUUGUGACGGGUACAUUUCUUGUCAACUCUAGACCUGCUCACAUCUUAUUUGAUUCUGGUGCCUCAGAUUCUUUUGUGUCUUACGAAUUUGCGCAUGCCUUGCAAAUUGCUUGCUUUGUACUCGCGCAACCAUUUCACGUAGAUACUGCGGGAAGUAUAUCAUUACUUGCUGAUAAAGUCUAUAGGGAUUGUGUUAUAGAAAUUGAAGGCUAUACUUUUCUCGCUAACCUGAUCCCUAUCUCCUUGCCCAACUUUGAUAUUAUUCUCGACAUGGAUUGGUUAUCAAAGAACCACGCAGAACUCUUGUGCUAUGAAAAGAUAGUACAUAUUCCUAUUGAAGGGGAGAAUCCUAUCUAUGUCUACGGUGAACAAAGACUCUUAAAAAUAAUCUAUUUCCUUAAAGCUCGUAAAUUCAUAUCGAAAGGGUGUUCUAUCUAUAUGGCCUACACAGUUGAUGUCUCAAAAGAGGAGAAGAAAACUGUAAAUGAUGUUCUCGUUGUUAACGAAUAUCCUGACAUUUUCGCCGAUGACUUGUCUGGCCUUCCUCCGGAUAGGCAAGUAGAAUUCCGAAUUGACCUUGUGCCUGGUGCUGCUCCAAUUGCAAAGACUCCUUAUCGUCUUGCGCCAGCUGAGAUGAAAGAAAUGAUGAUCCAACUGCAAGAACUACUUGACAAGGGUUUCAUUCGACCGAGUACCUCUCCCUGGGGUGCUCCGGUACUAUUUGUCAAGAAGAAAGAUGGAUCGAUGCGGAUGUGCAUUGAUUAUCGUGAGUUGAAUAAGGUGACUAUCAAGAACAAGUACCCACUACCUCGCAUCGACGAUUUGUUCGAUCAACUUCAGGGUGUUAGCUAUUUCUCAAAAAUUGAUUUAAGAUCUGGCUAUCAUCAGUUGAAAGUUCACGAGCAGGAUGUACCGAAGACUGCUUUUCGUACUCGAUAUGGGCAUUAUGAAUUCCUUGUUAUGCCGUUUGGUUUAACAAACGCUCCGGCUGUAUUCAUGGAUAUGAUGAAUCGGGUAUGCCGCCCAAUGCUCGAUAAAUCAGUCAUCGUAUUCAUUGAUGAUAUUCUAAUCUAUUCCAAGUCUGAAGCUGAUCAUGCCAUUCAUAUUCGUGCGGUAUUGGAACUUCUUCGAAAGGAGAAACUAUAUGCUAAAUUCUCGAAAUGUGAAUUUUGGCUUCGCCAAGUUCAAUUUCUCGGCCAUGUUAUUUCUAGUGAUGGUGUAUCCGUAGAUCCUAUCAAAAUCGAAGCCAUUCAAAAUUGGGAAGUGCCCCGUAAUGCUUCCGAAAUUCGUAGUUUCUUAGGUCUCGCGGGAUAUUACCGGAGAUUCAUUAAAGACUUUUCUCGUAUAGCCGUACCUCUCACGAGUCUUACACGGAAAGAAGUGAAGUUCGAAUGGGGUGAAACCCAAGAAAGAGCUUUCUCAACUCUAAAAGAUCUUUUGACUCAUGCUCCAAUCUUAUCACUCCCAGAAGGUGAUGAUGACUUCUCCGUAUAUAGCGAUGCUUCAAGAUUGGGACUCGGUUGUGUGUUGAUGCAACGUGGCAAAGUGAUAGCCUAUGCCUCAAGACAACUGAAAGAUUAUGAAAAGAAUUAUCCCACUCAUGAUCUCGAACUCGCUGCAGUGGUAUUUGCCCUAAAACUUUGGAGGCAUUAUCUUUUUGGUACAAAGUGCCAAUUAUUUACCGACCACAAAAGUCUCAAGUACAUAUUCAGUCAGCAAACUUUGAAUAUGAGACAACAACGAGCCAUGGAGCUGAUCAAAGAUUAUGAUUGUGAAAUCCUAUAUCAUCCUGGAAAAGCUAACGUGGUUGCUGAUGCACUUAGCAGAAAAGUUUAUCGCAAUAGUAUGUGUUAUGCCAUUACUCAUACUACAGUAAAAUUCACUAUUUUAGAUGAAUUAGAGAAAUGGCAAGAAGAGGCCCUAAAGCCAGAAAAUGUGAAGAAAGAAGGGAUGAUACAUUAUAAUGAUGCUCUACUUGAUGAUCCGCGAGGAUUAAAAGUAUUCAAGAAUCGGCUGUGGAUUCCAAAGAUCGGUGGAUUGAGACAGAAGAUUUUAGAUGAAGCCCAUAAAUCUAAACUGUCAAUCCAUCCUGGUACAAGUAAAAUGUACUAUGAUGUAAGAGCUGAUUAUUGGUGGCCUGGAUUAAAGAGAGACAUUGGAAGAUAUGUACAAGAAUGCUUAGUAUGCUUACAAGUCAAAGCAGAGCACCAAAAGCCUUAUGGAACCCCAGAAAGUCUUAGUGUUCCUGUAUGGAAAUGGGAGGAAUUGUCCAUGGAUUUCAUUACCAAAUUGCCAAAGACUGCUAGACAGCAUGAUAGCAUUUGGGUAAUUGUCGACCGCCUGACUAAAAGCGCUCAUUUUCUUGCCAUGCGUGAAACGGCCCCAAUGGAGAAAUACGCACAAGUAUACUUGGAUGAAAUUGUGGCAAGACAUGGUGUGCCACUAAAGAUCAUCUCCGAUCGUGAUACUCGCUUCACUUCUCACUUUUGGGCGAGUAUGCAACGUGAAUUAGGAUCUCGAGUUGCUCUCAGCACAGCAUAUCAUCCCCAGACAGAUGGUCAAACGGAGAGAACAAUCCAAACAGUAGAAGAUAUGCUUCGUGCAUGUGUCUUGGAGUUCGGUGGUAACUGGGAUAAAUACUUACCUCUUGUCGAAUUCUCGUAUAAUAAUAGUUACCACGCUUCAAUCAAAAUGCCACCAUACGAAGCAUUAUAUGGUCGCAAGUGUCGUACUCCAUUAUGUUGGCGAGACAUAGGACAGAAGAUCCUUGGAGGCCCUGAAAUGAUUCAAGACACCACCGACAAAAUUCAAAUCGUACGAGAAAGAAUGAAAGCGGCCCAGGAUCGACAGAAGUCCUAUACAGAAAAGAGAAGACGACCCAUAGAAUUCCAAGUGGGUGAUUUCGUGAUGCUGAAGGUAUCUCCAUGGAAAGGCCUUAUGAGAUUUGGGAAGAAAGGAAAGUUAAGUCCUAGAUUUGUUGGUCCUUUCAAAAUCAUCCAGAGAAUUGGAAAGCAAGCAUACCGCUUAGAAUUACCUGAAGAUUUGGCAGGUAUUCAUGAUGUGUUUCAUGUGAGCUAUCUGCGCAAAUGCUUGAGCAUCAAUGAUGAGACAGUUCCAUUAUCCGAGGUGAAAUUGGAUAAUAAGUUAAGAUAUGUAGAAGAGCCGGAAGAGAUCGUGAAUGAAAGAACAACUAAUCUACGUAAUAAAGAAGUGGAGUUGGUGCUUGUCAAGUGGAAACACCAUCGAGGCCCAAAUUAUACUUGGGAAAAUAAGAAUGAGAUAAGAGCAAAAUAUCCCCAUUUAUUUUAAUCGAUGUAAUUUCGGGGACGAAAUCCUCAAAAGGAGGAGGUAUUUGUAACAUACACGUUUUGAAAUCGUGUUUUAAGUAAAUAAUAUUAUGAAAUAUUAUGUGAAUUUGAAUGUUGAGUUCUAACAGAUAGUUUUUACUAGAAAUGAAGUAAAACUAUGUUUAGAAUCACUCAUAAAAUGUUGGAAGUCUUAUGAGAUUCCAAUUAAAAGCCAAAUAGUGAAAUAUAGCGAAAAUAUAAAAUUUGGAAUAAGUAAAAUUUUAUUAUUGAAAGUUGUAGAUAAUCUCGUUAGAAACAUUUAGGCGAAAACCUCAUCGAAAUCCGAGUUAUAACGAAGAAGUUAUGACCAAACGAAGAUCCGUGAUAAAUCCGGAAAAUACCUUGUCGCGUAAAAAUUUAGUUUUCGAUAAACUAAUUUUUAGCCUUAGUGAUGUAAAUGAAAGUUGUAGAACUCGUGAAAAUAAUCAACUUUCAUAUAAAGACCGUUUGAAUCUGAUUUCGUAUGAGAAAGUUAUGAUUUUUCGAAGUUUCAGCUUAGCAGUAGACAACUAAAAACUUGAAUUUUAGAUCGAUUGAUUUUUAGCCGACACAACCUAAACGAGAAUUGAAGGUCUCGUCAUUAGUAGUGCAACGGUAAAAAGUCUGACGAAAACGGACGUCGGAUGAAGAAGUUAUGAAUUUUUAACGGAUUUUCCUGUCCCGGUCUGUUAAAAAUAAUAAUAUUAAAAUUAAAGUCAAAAUUAGCCAACGAAGUCUAAACGAAAGUUGUAGAGCAUAAUUUUAGCUUCGCGUUCAUAUAAAGAACGUCAAAAAUGGAGCUCGUAUGUGAAAGUUAUGGAUUUUACAAGAUUUGACACAUUUUUCGAGAAAUUUCGCAUGAAUAGUGAUUGCCACGUCACCCUCGCUCGGAGUUGGCCACGUGUACGAAGCUGCUGCGUGGCAAUGCCAGAGAAGCGACGCGUGUCGCACAGAUGUCCGAAAGGCCACAUGAUCCUCGCAUCCCACACGUGAUCCGACCCUCGUGUCAUCCUCCCAUUGGACCGAAGUUGGGUCCAAUCCGAAGCUACCAUCUGCGAGCCAGCUGUUCCGACCCUCGCACCCGAAGCCUCGCCCUGCUGCCAGCUGGUCCGAGCCUCGCAGCCACCUGCCUCCCUCGCAUGCGCGCCAUCUGGAGCCCCUCGCUGCUGCCGCGUGUUUCUCUUGGCUUCGGAUCCGAGCUCCUCCUCCCCUAUAAAUAGAGGGCCUGUGAGACCUCUCGGGUAGUUUGAAAAUUUUGGCAAUUUCACCCCUCUUUUUGAGAUUUUUACUAUUCCAACUUCCCCCGAAGCCACGGUACUGAUUCCAAAGCCCGAAACACGCCCCGAGACUCCCGAAAAGCCCGAAAAAUUUAUCUUUUCGGUAUCGAAGCUCUACUUUCGCAGAGCCCGGUUUUCAAGAAAACUCCCGGUUUUCAACGACGAAAAUCAUAUUUAGAGCCGAAGUACUGCCCAAAUUAAUAUUUUAGCCCCCAGUUAUUUCACGGUGAGCUUAAUAUAUAGGAACAAUUGUAUGUCAUGUGCUAUAUGUGCUACGUGCUUUUCAGUGUUAUUAUUCCGGGUUAUUUUCCCGAGUUAUUUUUAUUUGCUAUUUUAAUAGCAAAGAAAUACCUUUGACCAUGUGAUCAGUGAAAGGACUUAGAUUCACAUUGGUACUGGUAUGUAGCCUCUGGCCAUGUAGAACAUGUCUCCGUAAGAGAAUGAAUUCUUUUCUAUGGUAUUGGCAGAAGGUUAGACAGGGCUUUAAGCCUGAAAUCUACCAAAAUGUUAAUCCGAAGUUGUAUAUCUUCUGUGCCGUUUGGGCCAAAGCUUUAUUGAUGUAUAUCAAGCAUGGAAAUUGUUAUGUCUCAUUGAUUGUAUAUCUUUAAAUCAAAUCAAUGAUUGAUAUGGAAUGUUUGUCACAUGAUUCACAUAUGUCGUUGUUGUUCCUUGAUCCUCUUUGCUUCUGCCAUAUCGAAGUAUAUAUAUGACAUAACGUUAUAUUGUAUCUAUUAUUGAACUCACUAAUCGUCACUGCUUACCCUCUCAAUGUUUAACUAAUUUGCAGGAGAUAAGCAUCCAGUAUGGUUAUAUAAUGGUAGAAGAUUUUUGAAUAGUUUGAAACUAUUGUAUCGAUAGAAGUUUAUGAAUAGUUUGAAACUAUUGUAUUUUGCACUCCCAUAUAUAUAAAACUAUAGAAUCCUGGGAAGUUAUGUAAUAUAUAACACUUUAAAAUAGUCGGUUUGUAUCCAGUAGUUUGUAACCUCUUUAUCAAUGUAAAAUAUUGUUUUUAUGAAUAUGCAAGUAGCAUGUUUUGGAGUAACUAUAUUGUCGUGUAUGAAAGUUUGGGUCUUUCAUAAAUACGAAAGUUAGGGUCUUUCAUCUUACCAAUUAUAGUUAUGGACUUAGACAUUAAUCCAACAUUCUCCCACUUAUAUAAGUCUAAAAAUAUUAUUGCGUAAGACUUUAAGAACCGACUGGCAAUCGUAGCUCUCAAAAACUUCUGUCGAACUCUGACCUUGUAGAUGAACUCUGACCUUUGUCAAUGACUUGUCCAUUAGAUAAGGGAUCAUAUAUUCCUCCAUUCUAGAUAUCAUAUGGACUGAGACAUGGAUUAUAAUCAUUCUCUCUAUCCAUUUGUUGUUUCCCGAUUUCUGAUUUAUGACGACUGACUAAUUGAACAAAUCAAAUCAGUCCUGGCCCGGCCGAGCACUUCCAUUUGUCAUCAUCAAAUCAUCGAGGGGCCCACAGAUAUCGCUUUUAUCCCGAAGGUAAAAGGAAUGGAUAAACUUCGACUCAUAUGGCUUGUUCUACUACUUGUUGAAUCAUACACAAAGGCACGUUUUAUAGCACCGAGUUACCAAAUGCGUUUUCGUGCAAUCAAUGUACAACCAACUCAUAGUAACAACUCAUAUCUCUAGGUUUGAAAAAUAUAAGAUAGUAUCGUCUCAUCAUCACUCGUGAUAAAAUCCUUGAAGUGAUUCCAAUGAGCGCGGGUUGAAUCCAAUACUCAGAACUUAUGAGCACUUGAGUGUUGUAGCACAACUUUGUCCACCAACUUGGACCUCUACAAGCCUACCCAUGACUUNUGCCAACCCAUGACAGUCUUGAUUCAUAUCUACUUCCAACAUAUGACCGACUGUGGAUGCUUUGAAUAUCUUAGUCAUUGCGGAAGAAUAACCUAGUUUAUUCUGGAUGUCAAAACAUAAAAACUGAAACACAAGAAUAAUUGAAUCUAAUAUGGUAUCAAAACCUAUGAACAUAAAUAAAACACCUUUUAUUUAUCACCAUAUGAUUAUAUAUUAUUCAUGUACACUGUUUCAGCCUAUCAACUUUAUUCUUGAAUUUAAAACAAUAGUUGUCCCAUGCUCCAAGCAUGUACACUAUGUUUUCUUAAACACUAGUCAUGCCACACACCAAGUAUGCAUACUAUGUUUGUCUAUGAUCUUUACUUUGUGAACUAGAUCAAUUGAACAUAACUUCAAUGAUUCUCUUUUCACACUCCCAAAUCCUUACUGCAAAUGCAAGAAUUCCAAAUUCAUGCCAUUUACUGAAAUUUGUUAGAUUGUAAACUUAUAUGCACUGAUCCUCUUAUAUUGAUUAUGCACAAAUUCAGAAAGUCUUGACAACAACCAUUACAGAGCAUUCCAAAGGAGAUCAGCUCCUUGGAAAUAUCCUUCUUGCAUUAAGUUUCCUUAACUUACACAGAUUGAAUAAUUUCUAACUUUGAAACAUUUCCAUAUUCCAUUUUGACUAUCACUUCUGAACAAGAGUUGCCUCCUUACAGAUUAUGUCAAUAUGGUCCUUCCAGAAUUAUCACUAUACUUCCAACUGUCCUUGAGCAACCAAUCUUUGGUAAACCUUAGAUUGUCCUCGACAAUUGUUUAAUCCUUUUAGUCAUAUCCAGUUCUAAACCUUUUCCCUUCUUAAUGCCCCAGGCAUUUGGAAAAUUUUAGAAAGGAUGAAUAUAGCACAUGUAAUCGAUCCUAUAUCCGAAGCAUAUGGGACACGAUUCAUGAUGUCUCACAUAAAGACUAAACCAGUCUUUUGCUAUAAUAUUUCCAUUUCAAUUUGCCAAGUUCUCAUAAUUCAGAUUAUGAAAAGGGAUGCCGUAAUCAUAAUCGAAUUUUAGAACGCAAAUAAUGGACCCAUAUACAGAAUUUCCUUAUGUUGAGCCAUUCCAACAUGAAAUUCAUAUAUAUCCUUGACUAAAUGAUUAAAACCUCACGAUCUAAGCUUAUAGAUUUGAGAUGAAGUAUAAUUUCCUCUCCCUUAAUUAUAGCAAAACAACCUUUUCCCAAUUGAAACUUUUUUUUUUCUAUAAUUAACAUUGCUAACUUGCCAUACUUAUCAUAAUUAUCAUGCUCCCGCUAACAUGAUGAUUAUUAGCAUAACACUUAUGCUCCCACUAGCUUUAACAUGUACUCAGAAAUCAGCUAGACUUCUAGAAAUCAAUACUUUAUUGACUUUCUUACCAAAGUUCAGAUUUCUAAUACUAGAUUGCUUUGAUAAAACUUUAUCAAUAUUAUACACCUUAUCUUAGAUAGCUCACAUGUGUGUCUAAACAAUUUCAAAACUAUGAAAAGGGAUGUCGUAAUCAUAGUCUUGAUUGUUUACACCUUUGCCACUUCUCACAAGUUCAUGUUAGUGUGCUGGUAAACCACACACGCUCCACUAACGACUUUGAGAAUGCAAAUAUCACAAUUGCUAU
rnacentral:lncRNA from 1 species